AGAGUUUGAUCCUGGCUCAGAACGAACGCUGGCGGCGUGGCUAAGACAUGCAAGUCGAACGGAUUAUGCUUAACCGUAUAAUCAGUGGCGAAAGGGUGAGGAACGGACGGGUAACGUACCCUGUGCACCGGAAUAGCGUCGUCCCGCAAGGGACUACCGAAAGGGGCGGUAAUUCCGGAUAACGUUAUUGAUCGCAUGAUCAAUAUCCAAAGGAUUUAUCGGCACAGGAGCGGCCUAUCUCCUAUCAGCUAGUUGGUGAGGUAAUGGCCCACCAAGGCUUUGACGGGUAGCGGGACUGAGAGGUUGGCCCGCCACAUCGGGACUGAGACACUGCCCGGACCUCCACGGAGGGCUGCAGUAACGAAUAUUGGGCAAUGGGCGCAAGCCUGACCCAGCGACGCCGCGUGUAGGAUGAAGUCCUUCGGGAUGUAAACUACUGUCAGGGGUAAUAAAGUCGUAAGAUUGAUAUAACCCAAAGGAAGUCACGGCUAACUCUGUGCCAGCAGCCGCGGUAAUACAGAGGUGGCAAGCGUUGUUCGGAAUCACUGGGCUUAAAGCGUGUGUAGGCGGACCAGAAAGUGUCUUGUGAAAUCCCUCGUCUCAACCGAGGAACUGCUCGGCAAACUACUGGUCUUGAGGUAGGCAUGGGUGCUUGGAACUCUUGGUGGAGCGGUGAAAUGCGUAGAUAUCAAGAGGAACGCCUGUGGUGAAAACGGAGCACUUGACCUAUUCUGACGCUGAGACACGAAAGCGUGGGGAGCAAAAAGGAUUAGAUACCCUUGUAGUCCACGCCCUAAACGAUGCCUGCUUGCUGUUUCGAGUAUCGACCCUCGGAGUGGCGAAGCUAACGCGUUAAGCAGGCCGCCUGGGAAGUACGAGCGCAAGCUUAAAACUCAAAGGAAUAGACGGGGACUUGCACAA
rnacentral:rRNA from 1 species